AUUGUGUGAAUACAUAGCACAUUCGAGGUAGACGCAGAGAACUGAAACAUCUAAGUACCUGCAGGAAGAGAAAGAAAAUUCGAUUCCCUGAGUAGCGGCGAGCGAAACGGGAAAAGCCCAAACCAGCAAGCUUGCUUGUUGGGGUUGUAGGACUCCAAUAUGGUAGUUCUUUCAGAUAGUCGAAUGACUUGGAAAAGUCAGUCAAAGAGGGUAAAAACCCCGUAGACGAAAUGUGGAAGACACCUAGGAGGAUCCUGAGUACGGCGGAACACGAGAAAUUCCGUCGGAAUCCGGGAGGACCAUCUCCCAAGGCUAAAUACUCCCUAGUGACCGAUAGUGAACCAGUACCGUGAGGGAAAGGUGAAAAGCACCCCGGAAGGGGAGUGAAAUAGAACCUGAAACCGUGUGCCUACAACAAGUCAAAGCCCGUUAAUGGGUGAUGGCGUGCCUUUUGUAGAAUGAACCGGCGAGUUACGAUUGCAUGCGAGGUUAAGUUGAAGAGACGGAGCCGCAGCGAAAGCGAGUCUGAAUAGGGCGUUUGAGUAUGUAGUCGUAGACCCGAAACCAUGUGAUCUACCCAUGUCCAGGUUGAAGGUGCGGUAAAACGC
rnacentral:rRNA from 1 species